rnacentral:rRNA from 1 species
AUUGAACGCUGGCGGCAUGCUUUACACAUGCAAGUCGAACGGUAACAGGCCUUCGGGUGCUGACGAGUGGCGAACGGGUGAGUAAUGCAUCGGAACGUGCCCAGAGGUGGGGGAUAACGCAGCGAAAGCUGUGCUAAUACCGCAUGUGAUCUGAGGAUGAAAGCGGGGGACCAGGCAGCAAUGUUUGGCCUCGCGCCUUUGGAGCGGCCGAUGUCAGAGUAGGUAGUUGGUGGGGUAAAGGCCUACCAAGCCGACGAUCUGUAGCUGGUCUGAGAGGACGACCAGCCACACUGGGACUGAGACACGGCCCAGACUCCUACGGGAGGCAGCAGUGGGGAAUUUUGGACAAUGGGCGCAAGCCUGAUCCAGCAAUGCCGCGUGCGGGAAGAAGGCCUUCGGGUUGUAAACCGCUUUUGUACGGAACGAAAAGGCUCUGGCUAAUACCUGGGGCUGAUGACGGUACUGUAAGAAUAAGCACCGGCUAACUACGUG